AGUAACGGCGAGUGAAGCGGCAACAGCUCAAAUUUGAAAUCUGGCCCUCGGGUCCGAGUUGUAAUUUGCAGAGGAUGCUUUGGGCGAGGCGCCGUCCGAGUUCCCUGGAACGGGACGCCGGAGAGGGUGAGAGCCCCGUACGGUCGGAUGCCGAGCCUCUGUAAAGCUCCUUCGACGAGUCGAGUAGUUUGGGAAUGCUGCUCUAAAUGGGAGGUAAAUCUCUUCUAAAGCUAAAUAUUGGCCACAGACCGAUAGCGCACAAGUAGAGUGAUCGAAAGAUGAAAAGCACUUUGAAAAGAGAGUUAAACAGCACGUGAAAUUGUUGAAAGGGAAGCGCUUGUGACCAGACGUGUGGCGGGUGAAUCAGCCGGCGCUCGCGCCGGUGCACUUUGCCCGCCACAGGCCAGCAUCGGUUCGCCGCUGGGGAGAAAGACGGUGGGAAUGUGGCUCUUCGGAGUGUUAUAGCCCGCCGUGCAAUACCCUCCGGCGGACCGAGGUUCGCGCUCCGCAAGGAUGCUGGCGUAAUGGUCACCAGCGACCCGUCUUGAAACACGGACCAAGGAGUCGUCCUAGUAUGCGAGUGUUUGGGUGCAAAACCCCUACGCGAAAUGAAAGUGAACGGAGGUGAGAGCUUCGGCGCAUCAUCGACCGAUCCUGAUGUCUUCGGAUGGAUUUGAGUAAGAGCAUACUGGGCCGGACCCGAAAGAAGGUGAACUAUGCCUGUAUAGGGUGAAGCCAGAGGAAACUCUGGUGGAGGCUCGCAGCGGUUCUGACGUGCAAAUCGAUCGUCAAAUAUGGGCAUGGGGGCGAAAGACUAAUCGAACCUUCUAGUAGCUGGUUUCCGCCGAAGUUUCCCUCAGGAUAGCAGUGUUGACUUCAGUUUUAUGAGGUAAAGCGAAUGAUUAGGGACUCGGGGGCGCUAUUUAGCCUUCAUCCAUUCUCAAACUUUAAAUAUGUAAGAAGCCCUUGUUACUUAGCUGAACGUGGGCAUUUGAAUGUAUCAACACUAGUGGGCCAUUUUUGGUAAGCAGAACUGGCGAUGCGGGAUGAACCGAUCGCGGGGAUAAGGUGCCGGAAUGGACGCUCAUCAGAACCCACAAAAGGCGUUGCUACUUCUUGACAGCAGGACGGUGGCCAUGGAAAUCCGAAUCCCGCUAAGGACUGUGUAACAACUCACCUGCCGAAUGUAGUGGCCCUGAAAAUGGAUGGCGCUCAAGCGUCCCACCCAUACCCCGCCCUCAGGGUAGAAACGAUGCCCUGAGGAGUAGGCGGACGUGGAGAUCCGUGACGAAGC
rnacentral:rRNA from 1 species